AGAGUUUGAUCAUGGCUCAGAUUGAACGCUGGCGGCAGGCCUAACACAUGCAAGUCGAACGGUAACAGGAAGCAGCUUGCUGCUUUGCUGACGAGUGGCGGACGGGUGAGUAAUGUCUGGGAAACUGCCUGAUGGAGGGGGAUAACUACUGGAAACGGUAGCUAAUACCGCAUAACGUCGCAAGACCAAAGAGGGGGACCUUAGGGCCUCUUGCCAUCGGAUGUGCCCAGAUGGGAUUAGCUAGUAGGUGGGGUAACGGCUCACCUAGGCGACGAUCCCUAGCUGGUCUGAGAGGAUGACCAGCCACACUGGAACUGAGACACGGUCCAGACUCCUACGGGAGGCAGCAGUGGGGAAUAUUGCACAAUGGGCGCAAGCCUGAUGCAGCCAUGCCGCGUGUAUGAAGAAGGCCUUCGGGUUGUAAAGUACUUUCAGCGGGGAGGAAGGGAGUAAAGUUAAUACCUUUGCUCAUUGACGUUACCCGCAGAAGAAGCAUCGGCUAACUCCGUGCCAGCA
rnacentral:rRNA from 1 species